UUUUUUAAACUUAGAUUUUUCUUUUUCAAAACACGCUCUGCAUCAAAAAGAAAACAAAGAUGGCGCGAGACCAGAGCAAGAUACGGGCGAGAGAUCUGAGCGAGCGCGCGAUCAGAGUGACAGAUUAGAGCGAGCUACAUUUUGUGUCCUUAAAGCAGCUAGGUUUUCGUUUGGUGCUCAGGCAGAGCUUGAUUUUAGAAGUUUUGAUUUUGAGAAACGACCUUGAGGCUAGUGAGAUCCUAAUCAACUUUUGAGACCAUCAACUUCUCUGAGAUGGAUAAGAGUUGGAUUCAUAUGCACACUAGGGGAAAAACACAGUCUAUUCAUGGGGUGAAAGAGUUCAUUAAUUUUGCAAUUGGGCACAUGAAACAGUGGGAGAGGAUGAUUGGAACUAUCUAGUUCAAUUAUGGCAAAAAGAUGAGUGGCAGAAAAGUAGUGCAGAAAAUAAGGAAAAUAGAAAGAAAUUGAAGAUCACACAUUGUGCUGGGACAAAGGUCUUUAGUCGUAUUAAAUAUGAAAAUAGAAAUUCUGAAACUGGAGAAGAACCUAGCCGCAUUGACUUGUUUCAGCUCACUUGAUUUAGCACAAAGAACCUAGCCGCAUUUGACUGUGUAGGAUGAGAUGAAGAAGCUGAAGAACCUGCGGCAAACAGAUGAGGAAUCUGUUGAAUUGAUGUCUGAUGAUGAAAUAUAUGACUCAGUUCUUUCUAAAGUUGUUGGUCCACCUAGAUCGAGUUAUAUACGUGGCUUAGGAGCAGGUCCGAAAACCAUAACAUUUAAAGCCGGACAAUGCAGUCAUGCUACAAUUGAGGAGGCUAAAAGGAGGCAGAUGAGGCAACUAAAAGGGCUGAUGAUGCAGAGAAACAAUGUAUGCUUCUAGCAAAUGAGUUAUUUGAAAUGAAGGAGAAUUCAGAAGCACAAAAGUAUCAGUUAGAAGGUUUAUUGACAAGGCAAAAUGAGACAGAUGCACUAGUAAAAAGAUUGCUGGAGCAGUUAUCCUCAACUUCAUCAUCAAUGAGGUCUGAUGGAUAAAGAGCAGAAGACAAUCUACUGGUGAUGAAUCUUAUGUUAUUUGUUUUUGGGAAUCGCUUGACCUUUAGGUUGAACAUAAAUAUGUAGCAUUUUGUUUUUGAGACAUCUUGUGAAUUUGUUGAAAGAAUGUUAGAUAUAUGGAUUGCUUUUGAAUGCAAUGAAUUAUUUGAUGCUAUAAAUUUUAUCUA